rnacentral:ncRNA from 1 species
AGCACUUUUUGAAUAGUGCUGGCAGAAGUAAGUCCGACUCGUGCCCCAACGGGGCACUGCCCUUUGUGGCUGGGGAUUAC